GACGAACGCUGGCGGCGUGCCUAAUACAUGCAAGUAGAACGCACAGUUUAUACCGUAGCUUGCUACACCAUAGACUGUGAGUUGCGAACGGGUGAGUAACGCGUAGGUAACCUGCCUGGUAGCGGGGGAUAACUAUUGGAAACGAUAGCUAAUACCGCAUAAUAUUAAUUAUUGCAUGAUAAUUAAUUGAAAGGUGCAAUUGCACCACUACCAGAUGGACCUGCGUUGUAUUAGCUAGUAGGUGAGGUAACGGCUCACCUAGGCGACGAUACAUAGCCGACCUGAGAGGGUGAUCGGCCACACUGGGACUGAGACACGGCCCAGACUCCUACGGGAGGCAGCAGUAGGGAAUCUUCGGCAAUAGACGAAAGUCUGACCGAGCAACGCCGCGGGAGUGAAGAAGGUUUUCGGAUCGUAAAGCUCUGUUGUAAGAGAAGAACGGGUGUGAGAGUGGAAAGUUCACACUGUGACGGUAUCUUACCAGAAAGGGACGGCUAACUACGUG
rnacentral:rRNA from 1 species